rnacentral:rRNA from 1 species
GAUGAACGCUAGCGGCAGGCUUAAUACAUGCAAGUCGUGGGGCAGCAUGAAUGUAGCAAUACAUUUGAUGGCGACCGGCAAACGGGUGCGGAACACGUACACAACCUUCCUAUAAGUGGGGAAUAGCCCAGAGAAAUUUGGAUUAAUACCCCGUAACAUAACGAUGUGGCAACACAUUGUUAUUAUAGCUUCGGCGCUUAUUGAUGGGUGUGCGGCUGAUUAGAUAGUUGGCGGGGUAACGGCCCACCAAGUCUACGAUCAGUAGCUGAUGUGAGAGCAUGAUCAGCCACACGGGCACUGAGACACGGGCCCGACUCCUACGGGAGGCAGCAGUAAGGAAUAUUGGUCAAUGGACGCAAGUCUGAACCAGCCAUGCCGCGUGAAGGAUUAAGGUCCUCUGGAUUGUAAACUUCUUUUAUCUGGGACGAAAAAAGGCUUUUCUAAGUCACUUGACGGUACCAGAUGAAUAAGCACCGGCUAACUCCGUGCCAGCAGCCGCGGUAAAAC